rnacentral:rRNA from 1 species
UACGUAGGGUGCAAGCGUUAAUCGGAAUUACUGGGCGUAAAGCGUGCGCAGGCGGUUACGUAAGACCGGUGUGAAAUCCCCGGGCUUAACCUGGGAACUGCAUUUGUGACUGCAUAGCUAGAGUACGGUAGAGGGGGAUGGAAUUCCGCGUGUAGCAGUGAAAUGCGUAGAUAUGCGGAGGAACACCGAUGGCGAAGGCAAUCCCCUGGACCUGUACUGACGCUCAUGCACGAAAGCGUGGGGAGCAAACAGG